GAUGAACGCUGGCGGCGUGCCUAAUACAUGCAAGUCGAGCGAACAGACGCUGCGCUUGCUCCUUUGACGUUAGCGGAGGACGGGUGAGUCACACGUGGAUAAUCUACCUAUCAGACUGGGAUAAUUUCGGGAAACCGGCGCUAAUACCGGAUAAUAUAUUGAACCGCGUGGUUCAUUAGUGAAAGUCGGUUUUUCUGUCACUAAUAGAUGGAUCUGCGCCGCAUUAGCUGGUUGUUAAGGUAAAGGCUUACCAAGGGAACGAUGCGUAGCCGACGGGGUAGAGUGGUAGCCGACACGGGAACGGGGACGCGGACCAUAGGCCUGCGGGAGGGAGCAGUAGGCAACCGUCCGCAAUGGGCGAAAGCCUUACGGAGCAACGCCGCGUGAGAGAUGAAGGUCUUGGGAUCGGAAAGCUCUGUUAUUAGGUAAGAACAAAUGUGUAAGGAACUAUGCACGUAGUGACGGUACCUAGUCAGAAAGCCACGGCUAACUACGUG
rnacentral:rRNA from 1 species